rnacentral:rRNA from 1 species
AACGAACGCUGGCGGCAGGCUUAACACAUGCAAGUCGAACGAGAUCUUCGGAUCUAGUGGCAGACGGGUGAGGAACACGUGGGAGCAUCCCUUUCAGUUCGGAAUAACGUUGGGAAACUAACGCUAAUACCGGAUACGUCCUUCGGGAGAAAGAUUUAUCGCUGAAAGAUUGGCCCGCGUCUGAUUAGCUAGUUGGUGAGGUCACGGCUCACCAAGGCUACGAUCAGUAGCUGAUCUGAGAGGAUGAUCAGCCACAUUGGGACUGAGACACGGCCCAAACUCCUACGGGAGGCAGCAGUGGGGAAUAUUGGACAAUGGGCGCAAGCCUGAUCCAGCCAUGCCGCGUGAGUGAUGACGGCCUUCGGGUUGUAAAGCUCUUUUGUCCGGGAAGAUAAUGACUGUACCGGAAGAAUAAGCCCCGGCAAACUUCGUGCCAGCAGCCGCCGUAA